CUUAAGUACUGAUUAUUCACAUGUGCUUGAAUUUAUCUCUUACCCAGUAUACUCAAAUUGUACAACCUACAUUAUCGAGCCUUUCAAUUUCUCGUAACCGUGUAAAAUUGUACUUUUGUUAGAGUAACCAGUUUCUGAAAACAACUUGACAUCAAUUGUGGUAACUACAUAUUGUAAUUAUCAUCCCGAGUCAUCUGAAUUCUCGCAAUUUUUUAGUAGAUUUGACUCUUCAUUGUAGUAACUACUCUUUGUCAAAAAUGUUUGAUUCAAAAUUUCAGAACUAUUUUAGAGUACAAUUUUAUGAAUUAUCAUACAAAAUUCAUGGUAAAUUUGACUCCCUGUUAUAGUAGUUGGCCCUGUUAGAAACCACUAGAUGCAAAAUUGUGGUAACUCCACAUCCUAAAUACUAUAUCAUGCUAUUUAUAUUACUAUUUCAUGAUAAAAUCUUGUAAUUUGUAACUAGUAUCAUUAUAGUAAUUUGUUUCUUAGAAUAAUUUCAUGCUAAUUUAUGGUAAUUGUCACUGCUAAGUGUCAUAUUAAGCCAUUCAAGUUAUCAAAAAUAUUUCCUACUCCAGUGACCAGUUACUAUAACAAUAUAAUUAGUUAUGGUAAUUCUCCCUCCAAAUGCCUACAAAAAAUAUUUACUUAGUGCCAGUUAACUAAUGAUAGGUUUUCUUGGAGUAGAUAGUUUUUCAUACAUAUGUUUAACAAGAAGUCUUUGUAAAUUUCUUAUAUCAUUUACGGAUGUUCCUUUCAUGGUGAUUUUUUUUGGAGAUGGGAUCUCCUUCGUCAAUUGCAAUGGAGAAGAUCUCAACUCUAGUGAGGGUGUAGUGAGGAUGCAUGCACGUUGCAGGAAAUGUGCCUCGAUCAGUUCAGAUUGUCUCAGCUGCUCUUCCACAUAUCGGCAAGGUCAUUGGCAGUUGGAUCAGGGCGGCGGCGGAUCCUCGCUGGUGUGCAUUAUGUGGAUUCUCCAACCCCGCCGGUUGCAGUGGCGCCCUUUCCCCGACCGAUGGUGGCGUCCAUGAUCCGUGUACGACGAGCACCUUCAGUGAUCAACUACAGGAAUCUUGGUGCUCGAUUUCUAUCCUCACCAAUUGCUUGUUCUGCGUCUAUCAUGAUCCUGUAUACAUUCCUGAUCUGAUUGACUGAUGCCAAACGACGUCAAUUCAUCAGCAAUGGCUGCCACUUGCUGGGCGUGAUUUUCUAUUGCCGUGACCGUGACUUGUCCAACAAAAUGCAGAUUGCUAACAAGCCUUCAACUGGUAAUGAGACUUCUCGAUAGCAGCUUGUUACAUUACAGAGCAGGAAACAGACAUGACCUGAUCUCAAACUGAUCAAUAGUCAAGCACUAGGAUGCACAUAUUGGAGUAGUGUCAGUGUGCUACAGUGCUAGAUCGAGAAUGUGCAAGAAAAACAAUUAAAUUUAGAUCCUGCAAUGUUGAGUAACCUUUUGUGAGGACAUAUGUUGUUUCACAAUGUCUACCAAUUGAUGUUGUAUUUUGCGUACUGUAUCAAUCUUUGUAAAUAUUUUUUAUUGUAGAUUAUCGUAAAUAUUCGUUAAUGCAAAAUCUCGUAAAUAUUUCUUA